rnacentral:rRNA from 1 species
GAUGAACGCUAGCGGCAGGCCUAAUACAUGCAAGUCGAACGGGAUCCAGAUCAAAGCUUGCUUUGGUCUGGUGAGAGUGGCGCACGGGUGCGUAACGCGUGAGCAACCUACCCUUGUCAGGGGGAUAGCCCGGCGAAAGUCGGAUUAAUACCGCAUGACAUCAUUGAGAGGCAUCUUUCGAUGAUCAAAGAUUUAUCGGACAAGGAUGGGCUCGCGUGACAUUAGCUAGUUGGUAAGGUAACGGCUUACCAAGGCUGCGAUGUCUAGGGGCUCUGAGAGGAGAAUCCCCCACACUGGUACGUGGACACGGACCAGACUCCUACGGGAGGCAGCAGUAAGGAAUAUUGGUCAAUGGACGGAAGUCUGAACCAGCCAUGCCGCGUGCAGGAAGUCGGCCCUAUGGGUUGUAAACUGCUUUUAUACGGGAACAAACGUCGGUACGUGUACCGGUCUGAGUGUACCGUAAGAAUAAGGAUCGGCUAACUCCGUG